rnacentral:rRNA from 1 species
UACGUAGGGUGCGAGCGUUGUCCGGAAUUAUUGGGCGUAAAGGGCUCGUAGGCGGUUUGUCGCGUCGGGAGUGAAAACCUUGGGCUUAACUCAGGGCUUGCUUUCGAUACGGGCAGACUAGAGGUAUGCAGGGGAGAACGGAAUUCCUGGUGUAGCGGUGAAAUGCGCAGAUAUCAGGAGGAACACCGGUGGCGAAGGCGGUUCUCUGGGCAUGAUCCGACGUGAGGAGCGAAAGUGUGGGGAGCGAACAGGAUUA